CCUACGGGAGGCAGCAGUGGGGAAUAUUGCACAAUGGGCGAAACCCUGAUGCAGCAACGCCGCGUGAGUGAAGAAGUAUUUCGGUUUGUAAAGCUCUAUUAGCAGGGAAGAAGAUGACGGUAACUGAUUGAGAAGCCCCGGCUAACUACGUGCCAGCAGCCACGGGCAUACGUAGGGGGCAAGCGUUAUCCGGAUUUACUGGGUGUAAAGGGAGCGCAGACGGCAGUGCAAGUCUGGUGUGAAAGCCCGGGGCUCAAACCCGGAACUGCACUGGAAACUGGGCGGCUUGAGUACAGGAGGGGCCGGCGGAAUUCCUAGUGUAGCGGUGAAAUGCGUAGAUAUAAGGAGGAACACCAGUGGCGAAGGCGGCCUGCUGGACAGUAACUGACGUUGAGGCUCGAAAGCGUGGGGAGCAAACAGGAUUAGAUACCCGAGUAGUC
rnacentral:rRNA from 1 species